UUAGCCAUGCAUGUCUGAGUAUAAGCAAUUAUACGGCGAAACUGCGAAUGGCUCAUUAUAUAAGUUAUCGUUUAUUUGAUAGCACCUUACUACUUGGAUAACCGUGGUAAUUCUAGAGCUAAUACAUGCUGAAAAUCCCGACUUCGGAAGGGAUGUGUUUAUUAGAUUAAAAACCAAUGCCCCCCCGGGGCUCUCUGGUGAUUCAUGAUAACCUCUCGAAUCGCAUGGCCUUGCGCCGGCGAUGGUUCAUUCAAAUUUCUUCCCUAUCAACUUUCGAUGUUUGGGUAGUGGCCAAACAUGGUUGCAACGGGUAACGGAGGGUUAGGGCUCGGCCCCGGAGAAGGAGCCUGAGAAACGGCUACUACAUCCAAGGAAGGCAGCAGGCGCGCAAAUUACCCAAUCCCGACGCGGGGAGGUAGUGACAAUAAAUACUGAUACAGGGCUCUUUUGGGUCUUGUAAUUGGAAUGAGUACAAUUUAAAUCCCUUAACGAGGAACAAUUGGAGGGCAAGUCUGGUGCCAGCAGCCGCGGUAAUUCCAGCUCCAAUAGCGUAUAUUAAAGUUGUUGUGGUUAAAAAGCUCGUAGUUGAACCUUGGGCCUGGCUGGCCGGUCCGCCUCACCGCGUGCACUGGUCCGGCCGGGCCUUUCCCUCUGUGGAGCCCCAUGCCCUUCGCUGGGCGUGGCGGGGAAGCAGGACUUUUACUUUGAAAAAAUUAGAGUGCUCCAGGCAGGCCUAUGCUCGAAUACAUUAGCAUGGAAUAAUGAAAUAGGACGCGCGGUUCUAUUUUGUUGGUUUCUAGGACCGCCGUAAUGAUUAAUAGGGACAGUCGGGGGCAUCAGUAUUCAAUUGUCAGAGGUGAAAUUCUUGGAUUUAUUGAAGACUAACUACUGCGAAAGCAUUUGCCAAGGAUGUUUUCAUUAAUCAGGAACGAAAGUUAGGGGAUCGAAGACGAUCAGAUACCGUCGUAGUCUUAACCAUAAACUAUGCCGA
rnacentral:rRNA from 1 species